CGCAACCUAGUUUUCAUCAGAACUCACCUGGGCAACGGUGCGCGAUUUCCUGAAUGUUUUCUGGGGAAAACGGGGUUCUGCUGCAGAAGUUAGCUUUUAACGAGGUGUGUGACACUGGACGGCGAAGUUCUAAUUAAUGAAGUUUUACUACAUUUGGGAUUUGGGCACUGCUUUGACAACAUCAAAAUAAUGAAUUCAGUACAAAAAUCACUUUUCCCCGGAGAUUUUAUUUAUUCAUGACAGACACAGAGAGAGAGGCAGAGACACAGGCAGAGGGAGAAGC